rnacentral:rRNA from 1 species
GAACGAUAAUGUAGGCUUCGGUCUACUAGUAAAGUGGCGGACGGGUGCGUAACACGUGGGUAAUCUACCUUCCGGCGGGGGACAACAGUCCGAAAGGAUUGCUAAUACCGCAUACGUCAGCGGCGCCUACGGGCGCUGUUGGGAAAGAUGGCCUCUCCUUGGAAGCUAUCACCGGAAGAUGAGCCCGCGUCCCAUCAGCUAGUUGGUGAGGUAACGGCUCACCAAGGCUUAGACGGGUAGCUGGUCUGAGAGGAUGAUCAGCCACACUGGGACUGCGACACGGCCCAGACUCCUACGGGAGGCAGCAGUGGGGAAUAUUGGGCAAUGGGCGAAAGCCUGACCCAGCCACGCCGCGUGAGUGAUGAAGGCCUUCGGGUCGUAAAGCUCUGUGGGGAGGGACGAACAAGCCUGGGGCUAAUCACCCGGGACCUGACGGUACCUCCUUAGCAAGCACCGGCUAACCCUGUG